rnacentral:rRNA from 1 species
GACGAACGCUGGCGGCGUGCUUAACACAUGCAAGUCGAACGAAGAGCGAUGGAAGCUUGCUUCUCUCAAUCUUAGUGGCGAACGGGUGAGUAACGCGUAAUCAACCUGCCCUUCAGAGGGGGACAACAGUUGGAAACGACUGCUAAUACCGCAUACGAUCUGACCUCGGCAUCGAGGAUAGAUGAAAGGUGGCCUCUACAUGUAAGCUAUCACUGAAGGAGGGGAUUGCGUCUGAUUAGCUAGUUGGAGGGGUAACGGCCCACCAAGGCGAUGAUCAGUAGCCGGUCUGAGAGGAUGAACGGCCACAUUGGGACUGAGACACGGCCCAGACUCCUACGGGAGGCAGCAGUGGGGAAUCUUCCGCAAUGGACGAAAGUCUGACGGAGCAACGCCGCGGGAGUGAUGACGGCCGUCGGGUUGUAAAGCUCUGUUAAUCGGGACGAAAGGCCUUUUUGCGAAUAGUGAGAAGGAUUGACGGUACCGGAAUAGAAAGCCACGGCUAACUACGUG